UUUAUGGUGUAAUCGGUAUCACAAUGGACUCUGAAUCCAUUAAUGCGAGUUCGAGUCUCGCUAA
rnacentral:ncRNA from 12 species